GGGGGGGGGGGACACAUUUUACCACUUUGGAAGUGUCUCUCGCGCAAACUAUUCAGUUUAGAAAAAAAUGAUAUUAGAAACCUCAAUAUCAUUUUUGAAGACCUAUCCAUAGAUACCCCACACGUAUGGGUUUGAUGAAAAAAAAAAAAAUUUGAGCGAUUUAUGACGUAUUAAAAAAAAACUACUUACUAGAUCUCGUUCAAACCAAUUUUCGGUGGAAGUUUACAUGGUAAUGUACAUCAUAUAUUUUUUUUAGUUUUAUCAUUCUGUUAUUUUAGAAGUUACAGGGGGGGGGGGGGGGGACACACAUUUUACAACUUUGGAAGUGUAUCUCGCGCAAACUAUUCAGUUUAGAAAAAAAUGAUAUUAGAAACCUCAAUAUCAUUUUUGAAGACCUAUCCCUAGAUACCCCACACGUAUGGGUUUAAUGAAAAAAAUAUUUUGAGUUUCAGGGAUUUAUGACGUAUUAAAAAAAAACUACUUACUAGAUCUCGUUCAAACCAAUUUUCGGUGGAAGUUUGCAUGGUAAUGUACAUCAUAUAUUUUUUUUUGUUUUAUCAUUGUCUUAUUUUAGAAGUUACAGAGGGGGGGACACAUUUUACCACUUUGGAAGUGUCUCUCGCGCAAACUAUUCAGUUUAGAAAAAAAAUAUAUUAGAAACCUCAAUAUCAUUUUUGAAGACCUAUCCAUAGAUACCCCACACGUAUGGGGGUUAGAUGAAAUUUUUUUUUUUGAUUUUCAGUUCUAAGUAUGGGGAACCCCCAAAAUUUGUUGUUUUUUUUCUAUUUUUGUGUGAACAUCUUAAUGCAGUUCACAGAAUACAUCUACUUACCAAGUUUCAACAGUGUAGUUCUUAUAGUUUUGGAAAAAAGUGUCUGU